ACCAGACUCCUACGGGAGGCAGCAGUGGGGAAUAUUGCACAAUGGGGGGAACCCUGAUGCAGCGACGCCGCGUGGGUGAAGAAGCGCCUCGGCGCGUAAAGCCCUGUCAGCAGGGAAGAAAAUGACGGUACCUGAAGAAGAAGCCCCGGCUAACUACGUGCCAGCAGCUGCGGUAAUACGUAGGGGGCAAGCGUUAUCCGGAUUUACUGGGUGUAAAGGGGGCGCAGACGGCGAUGCAAGCCAGGAGUGAAAGCCCGGGGCCCAACCCCGGGACUGCUCUUGGAACUGCGUGGCUGGAGUGCAGGAGGGGAAGGCGGAAUUCCUGGUGUAGCGGUGAAAUGCGUAGAUAUCAGGAGGAACACCGGUGGCGAAGGCGGCCUGCUGGACUGCAACUGACGUUGAGGCCCGAAAGCGUGGGGAGCAAACAGGAUUAGAUACCCUAGUAC
rnacentral:rRNA from 1 species